rnacentral:misc_RNA from 1 species
CAUAAGAGAAUAUUAGUACAACCACUAGUCUAAAACAACAUAGCAAUUAUACUUUUCUGAGUAUAAAAAUAUCAAAAUAAGUUCUAUACAGUAGAGAUAAUACAUCAUGUUCAACAAGCAAUAAAAAUAUUAAUUAAAAAAAAAGAUCUUUCGAAGACAAGAAAGAGUAUAUCUGGAUGCUAGUCAAAAUGAAAUCUUGAUGAAGACUAAGAUGUGCAACAUUAAAAUAUACAGCACAAAAGCCGACCUCAUUAGCAUAAGCCUCUGCUGUUGCUCUGUUUGACCACCAGUUGAAUAAGGAAGCUUGUCAGAAAUAUAAUCCGAAGAAGCAAAUCCUCUGCCUGAGUUGCUUCUCCCAAACCGAUUUCUAGCAGUAUUGGCCUCUGCAUUGCUGCUUUCAAGCUGCCUCCACAAGCCAUUUAAUCUUUCUAGCUCCAUCUCUUUCAAAUGGAUUUCACUGACCAGGCCUUCUGCUUGUGCCUGCUUUGCUGCUAGUUGCUCAAUUAAGCUAUGAAGCUGUUUAUCCAAUAUCUUCUCUCUCUGCGCUGCAAAACAGAAAUCACUUGUAAUUCAAAUUCCCUGGUAUGAGUUGACACUUCCAAUAUGUCAAAUAUUUUCCAUUAAUCAUUAAUUUUUCUCAUUAUACAUUUAAAUAAUGAAUUUACAUGAAACUGCAAGAAGAGAAACUGAGGAAACAACAACUCUAUGACCAAGUCAUAAGAUUGCCACGUACGAUCAAAUCAUAAACUCAAAGUGUAAGCCAGCUUGCAGCCUAGGAAUAGAUUCUUUCUGGAUUGUGAUCUAUUCCCAAAAAGGAUUUUUUGCAAAAGAAACAUCUAGAUAGAUGACUAAAAUGUUUUCUGUAUAAGGAAACCCUUUUCCUUUGCUGGUGAAGGGAAAAGCUAAGCCUUAAUGUCCUAAAAUCAAAUCAAGCUUUUCCUUUCAUAAUUUUGUUACCUUCUCAUAAAGGGGGGAAAGAUGUAAACCGGAAUCCUAAUCUCAGCCCCUCUAUGCAUGUGUGUUGUGCAUUCAAGUGAUUGUGUAUGCAAACACAUCCACAUAAAAUUCUAAAAGGUUCAUGCAAAAUGGUUACAAAACAUAUGAUAUAAAUACCUGGCAUAGGCUGCUUCAGAGCACUAUCUUGAACUUGUGCCCAUUUUUUCUCUAAAUCUUGAACAAUUUCUUCCAUUGAACUCAGUUCUUUUUUCUUGUUCUCCAACUUCUCCAAUAAAGUGGAAUUUGUAGCUAGUGUAUCUGGUUCAGUUUCAACUUCUGUUUCAUAUACAACUGAUUCACCAGGCCUUCCAGACUGACUGGUGUUCAGCGCAGUUUCUGCAUUUUCCAGUUCCUGUCUCAAAUUCUUUUCAUUCUCAUCCAUUUCCUGUAACUUCCUCCGAAGUAAAUCUGCUUCCUGAAUUUUCUCCUGUAUUUUAUUCUCACAAUUUGAUAUAGCCUUUUCAUAUGCAACAUUUUCUUCCAGCAAAGUUACCUCUCUCAAUUGGGCGUGUUCCUUAGUGGCAGAGUGAGCGUUCAACUGCAGAGCAAGAGCAGCAUUGGAAGCUAGAGAGUGAGCGUGGAGGUGAGGAAGGCGUUGGGAGAUGUCGGGUGGAGGCAGUCUGAGCCGUAGAUCCUGGAUCGUGCGGCUCAAUGAGGUUGCCUUUCGAUCUAAUUCUCGCACAUAGUUUUGCUGCUCUUCGGUGAAGGUUAUCGGGAUGGCGUCUGCUUCAUUGGUCUGGCCACCGCCGUGACCUCCAACAACAUCCGCUGCCCAGGCCAGUAAUCCCGCCAUCGCUCUCGAAAUCUG